rnacentral:rRNA from 1 species
CCCUUAGAUGUCCUGGGCUGCACGCGCGCUACACUGACACAUGCAACGAGUUUUUCCUUGCCUGAAAGGGUUGGGUAAUCUCCUUGAAAGUGUGUCGUGAUGGGGAUAGAUUAUUGCAAUUAUUAAUCUUCAACGAGGAAUUCCUAGUAAGUGCAAGUCAUCAGCUUGCGCUGAUUACGUCCCUGCCCUUUGUACACACCGCCCGUCGCUCCUACCGAUUGAGUGAUCCGGUGAGCUCUUCGGACUGCGCGGUCUGCAGUUUCUGCGUUCCGUGCGGAAAGUUGCGCAAACCUUAACAUUUAGAGGAAGGAGAAGUCGUAACA